CGCCCCCCGAGCCCGCCAACCCGCGCUUCUCCCCGCCCCCUCCAGGGGACCGGGAAAGGACGCAGAGCUGGGGGCCGGGAAGACUGGCCAACCCUGGCCGGGGCUCUAGCCAGCUGGGUGCGCCCGGGCCAGAAAUAGUCAGAUUCCUCCUGCUUCCUCCACCGCCGCCUCCCACAGGCCCUGUCAUUACCGCGGGCUGCCGGCCCCACGCCCUGCCUGUGGGCGCCUCGCCUCGCUGGGGUUGUGGGUGAUGCGGGAAAGAAUCAGAAUCCGGUCUUAGCGGGGACAGGAAUCACUGCUAAAGCGGCAUUCUAGCCGGGCAGUCCGGGUCGUCUUCUGAGAAAUGGGUGCAGGCACCGGCCCACAUUGCGAGGUUUAGGGAGAGUAAUAGCUACAUUUUUGUCAGGAGAGGGUCCCCUCCCUUUCUCUGGGAGACUUCUCACUUCCGGGAGGGUUGUGGGGAGGGUGUUGAGGCAGGUGCAGGUCUUUCAUCGGGGGAGAGGAGAGAUGGGAGGCCUGCCAUGAGGCUGCCUGAGGAAGAGUGCCCUAGCGAACUCCACCCCUGAUGCUGAAGACAAUUAAAGUCUGGCUCACCUCAGCUCCUUCUCUUCUGGCACUACCAGGCCAGAACAGCUGGAGGGCAGUUUCCCGAUUCUGAGUGUUGAAGUUGGGCUUUAGAGAGCCACCUCAUGUACCCCCACCCCACAGUGUGGGGCUGGCUCUUUGGCGCUCACCCUCGUCCUGAUGCCCUAGGAAGGCCCCCCCUUUCCACAAGCUGGGGCUGUAUUACACCAGAGAUGAUCAAGGCUCCACGUAGACAGAGCCUGGGAGGGAGAAAGAUGAGAAAUUCCCUUCUCUCCCGAGUCCUACUCUCCAGGUCCUUCCUGAGCCUCGGAGCCUCCCACCUAGAUCUCCGAUCCUGCCAGGUCCUCUCAUCAGUGAGUCAGGACUCCACAGGCCAGCUCCUCUCGCCAACCUGAGACCAAGAAGUCCCGACACCAGCAGUUGGCAUGGCUUCAUCUCCAGCAUCAUUUCUACUUCUUGUCAUCCCUGUCUGCGCUCACGUCCCCUCCCUGGCCUGGGGUUGCCAAACAGAAGGGGCAUGCUGACUCAGAGCUGGCCAAGCAGCCAGGUUCUGCCAGAAAUGAGGGGCAGCCGUGGGAACCUCGUCCUGCCCAGAUGCCUCAUUACCCUACCCAGAACCUUCACAAAACAUCCUGAAACCCUGAUGACUCAUAGGACUCAGUGGCAGGCUUACUCUGGAGCACAAAGCGGCUGAGAUCUGUCCUGUUUAGGCAGAGUUCCAGGCAUGGCCCCUCCCCCAGCCCCUGGCUGUCCCAGGGCCAAGUGUCUGUGCAAAGAAAAAGUCACAGGACAGAGGGACACGGUCCACCUGAGCUGGAGAGAGGAGUGUCCAAUCUAAAGAAGGCACUGAGACCCCUGUUUGAAAACUGUUCUAUUUUUUCAAUAAAUACUUAUUAAAG